rnacentral:tRNA from 1 species
AAGAAUCUAGUUAAAAUAUAACAUCAAUAUGUCAUAUUGAAAUUAUUAAUAUAUUAAUGAUUCUUA